UCAUACUAACUCCCUCCACAUUUGCACAUGGGACCUAUGAGGAAGCAUGAAGAGAGGACCGUGCAUGCCUGAAGACUUCCCAGAUGUCCCCUUUGCUUCCUCCAAUAACUACCUGCUAACCCCAGAAUCCACCCCUAAACCUUUUGUAAAAUUACUGCCUCAAAGCCAGUACAAGAAGAUAGAUGUGAACUAGACUCCUGUCUCCUCAGAGGCAGACUGGCAAUAUAAAGCUUUUCCUUUCUCAAAACCUUGGUGUCAUAAUGUUGGCUUCUAGUGCGGUGAGCCCCUUUUGCUGGCUAACACUGCCAGGUAAUUUGACAUACUAGGUGGGUAGUGACUACUGAAUGCCUCCAGGUUACAACACAGUUAUUACCCACUUGAGUGGAAAGAGAAGACAGGAAAUACAUAUUGGAGUCGGCCGGCAACCUGUUUACAAAGCAAUUUACAACAGUUCCUUAUUCUUAAAGGGCCAUUCUAAUAUAAGACCUCAGAGAAACAGUGCAAUGUGACAAAGGAGGAAUUUAUCAGAGGACACAGGAGAAGCAUCAAGGCAAGCUGCGAAAUGCCGGAGUAGGCACCUAAUAGAGAGCCAGAAGAUCUGUCACUGCAGGCCCUCAGGUCAUCAGCAGAGACAGCUCCAAGCAAUUCUUUCCGGCUGGUUGUCCUUCCAGUGCCUGACAUGAAAAUCACAGCGUUGGUGAGAAAACAGCCACUGCAGGGAGCUGUGGCCACAGUCAUCUCGGCAUCCCUCCCCUGCGCCCACUUCCCACCACCCCUUGGAGGGGCCAGCACACAAGACAGUGACUGGGGCAUGUGUCAAGAGCAGGCGAGAGAAUAUCUACCCCGAGGCAGGAAAACACGGCUUCCGCUUCGCUGUCUCCCAGCUUGGUUUCUUAGAAAUCUAUGUCAUUAUCUUUCUGCUGGGAUUGUCAGACCUGAUUUUGAGAGCUUUUAAAACCUGACCCCUGAUGGAGCCUCUAAAAUGCUUCCUGCCUUCUAUUUCACCAGGCUUUUAAAGCAGUCUCCACCUCCCACUACAUCUGUAGUGGUGGCUGCUUGGGGGCUGUUCCUGGGGUGGGGAGGGGAACAUGGAGCUGCAGUGUUCCAGAGAAGAAAAAGGCAGGUGUGGGUGUUGAUGCUCAAGGAGUGGGUGAGGAUGGCAGGUGGAGAGGAGAGGACGAUGGGAAUGGAGGAGGGUCGCUGAGGUGGGGUGCUGGGGUGUUACAAGGAAAUGGAUGGCCAGGUAAGAGAAUGCAGACCCCGAUGGGGCUUUUGUAUGACUCUCCCUUCACCUCUCCGCUGUGCUCACCCUCACCUGGGCAGAUCAGGAGAAAAGGGGUGAGAUGGGGGAGCCUCAGGAGAGUGGCACUGGUGUUACAUAUCAGCUGGGAGAGAAUUUUCCUGCCCUUCUUUGUCCCAGUUGAUUAACUGCCAAAAGUUACUAGAGAAAGAAAGCAAAGGAGAAGGCAGAGAAAAGAAAACCACCAUUCGCUGGGCACAUCCAUUCAUUCACUCAGCAACUUCAUUGAGUCCCGCUGAUGAGCCAGGCACCAGGUGAGUAUUUAGUGUCUCAUUGCCUUAUUAUGCUGGAGGGGCUCGGAGCCCAGAAAGGGGGCAGUGGAAGGAGGCAGUGCAGAGUGCCCCUGUGCUCACCCAUUCCUCUUGCCAUCCAUCUAUUUAUUCAGCUGCCAACCACCCAGCACAGGGCAGGCAGGCAAGAGUGGCUUGGGAAGGGGGUGAAGAGAAGGUAAAGUCUGUGGUUACAUGGGGGGUUUAGGAUACAGAGGGAGAAAAGAGAAAGAAACCCCCUGUAGCAAAAGAGGAAGAAAAGGGCAAGUCUGGUUGGCAUAAACUUAAAAAAAUAGAUGGGUGAUGCAGGGGUAGCGGCAGGCUUCACCUGUGACCUGUUCUUCCACCACCCUGUUUACAUGGAAUUCAGUCAUGGUCAUUUUGGCUCCUUUACUGUAUUCCUCAGGGUGAUUCCUCUAUUCUCUCAUUAUCUGGAGUCUGAUUGUCAUUCUUUGUGGAAAGUGCAUGGCAUCCGUGUACAAUGCGCCCAGAAAAUCUGCAGUUUCAAUGCCUUUUCUGAUGACACAAAUGCCAGUUCAGUAUUUCUCUCUGCGUUCAAAAUUGAUUGACAUCCGAUGGGUCAGUAAUGCCACAGAUGAAGUCUCAACUUACAAAUGAUCUCUGCUUCAGAGAAUACUCAGUUUUCCCUGGAAUUUGGUGGAAGGCUUUUUGAAUGCUACUGGGCUCAAAGAGCAGAUUUUAAGCAUGAGCACAGAAGGACGCCUGCUGGAUAGCCACACGUUGAGUGAAAUGUACGAUCUACACAUGAACUAUCCAUUUUCAAGCCUGAAUUUCAUAAUACACCUUGGAAAAUAAAACUACAUGCAACGUAAUUUAACCUGCCUUUGAUGAUUCAGGAGGCACUUUAGUACCUCAAGUGGCUGUAAACCUCAUCACAGUGCAUGCCAGUUAUCACUGUACCACAGAUGUGUAAACACUGCUUAUAGAAGAGCUUUCAUGCCAGAACUUACAGACAAGAGAUUGUGGCAAGAUCCCUACUUAAUAAGCUUCCUAUCUCAACCAGGUAACAAAGAAGAAAUACCUCAGUAGUUCAUCCAUUUCCAGCCUCUCAGUUAUGGUCCAAUUGUUAAACACCUUGAAAUUCUAUUGAAAUAAAUAAAUAUGGGCUUUCACUAAAAUAUAAUAAGACUAUAGAAUUUAGUUGUUAAGGUGCACAGAUAAAUAUUUAAGUUUCUGACAUUUAAUCACUGGUUUUAGUUUAAGACUAGCCUCACUAGAUUACAUUAGGGACUAGUUAUUUGACCUUGUUUGUUUGUUUGUUUUUUGAGAGUCUCACUCUGUCAUCCAGGCUGGAGUGCAGUGACACAAUUGUGCCUCAAAGUAACCUCUGUCUCCCUGGUUCAAGCAAUUCUCCUGCCUCAGCCACCCAAGUAGCUGGGAUUACAGGUGUGCACCACCAUGCCCAGCUAAUUUUUGUAUUUUUAGUAGAGACAGGAUUUCACCACAUUGACCAGGCUGGUCUCGAAUUCCUGACCUCAGAUGAUCUGUCUGCCUCAGCCUCCUAAAAUGCUGGGAUUACAGGCAUCAGCCAUCACGCCUGGCCUUUAAUCAUAGAUAUUUCAGAAUUACUAAUGUAAAUAUUGCUUCUACAUAUUGAAUAUUUAACAUAGUUGCGGAAAUGAUCAUUAGGAACGAAAAGCAAACACUUUAAGAUAGACAAUUCCUUUAAACUCUCUUUUCUUCAUUGCUUUACCCUGGCCCCAAAAUGUUUUUGGAGUGAAAGUUUCUACUCCUGGCUUCAAUCCAAAGAUUAAAAGGCAGGUCAAGGCUGAGCAUGGUGGCUCAUGCCUACUAUCCCAGCAUUUUGGGAGGUCAAGACAGGAGGAUUGCUUGAGGCAAGGGGUUCCAGACCAGCCUGGGCAACAUAGUUCCAGACCAGCCUAAGCAAAUCUUGCCUUUGCAAAAAAAUGUUUAAAAUUAGCCUGUUGUGGUGGGUGCAUGUCUAUACUCCUAGCAAGUCAGGAGGCUGAGGCGGGAGGAUUGCUGGAGGCCAGAAAUUCCAGGCUGCAGUGAGCUAUGACUGCACCACUGCAGUCCAGCCUGGGUAGCAGAGUGACACCCUAUCUCAAACCCAAUGCAUGUAACCAAACAAACAAACGCAGCAGGACAAUGUAAUGGGAAGCACAGUAUUUUAAAAUAAGAUCUAAUUCAUGUCCUAAUUUGCUGGCUAUGUGAACUCAGUUCCAGAGCCACAACUCACUGUGACCUUCAGGGAUGUCUUCAGACCUGUCUGCACCUGUUCACUCAUCUGUGAAAAGAGCGUAGAGUAUUUUCUUCCCACAUGAUGAGUAAAUGCAGUACGUGCAAUGUAGACGUAUGAAUUUGAAGCCAUGGGGGGAUGCUUGAUAAACCUCACGGAUGUCUCUAAUCCUCGCCAACUUGGCAAAGCCACAGGAUGAAGUUUUGUGAACUUCUGACUUACGACCAGGGCUGUGUUCGUUUGAGUUCCCAGAAAAUGAGGACGAUAUCAGUAUCUGAUAAAUGAGCAAGAGUUGCUCCUUCCUUGUUCCAAUUUCUUUCCUCGUUUUUUCAGUUUUGGAGGCUAAAGGGAACAGCUUAAUGACAGCAACAUCUGAAGGGGGACCAGAAAAAGAGCAUUGUGUUUUGCUUCUAGAAAAUCAGGAGUCAUUGAAAGAUGGCCCACCUCUAAGACACCCGCCUUUCAAAGCUGCCCCAAAUUUCCCUUGGCUCUAACAAUUUCUGCUCAAUGACAGAUAAUCUCCAUGGCCUCCAUCAAAGGGUGGAGUGUGUGUGUGUGUGUGUGUGUGUGUGUAUUCAUUAAAAAAAAACUAUGGACAGUGGAGCAGAGAAAAAGAGGAACACACACUGCCAUAGUCUGUGUAGGAGGCCCAGGAACUGCUUGCCACUUUCAUAAUUCUUUGCUGUGACACUAAGCAAAAGCUUGCAGAGCCAUUUUGCUGUCAGGGGAAGCAGGAUGCCCCCGCCAUGAGUUUCUAGUGUUAGCUUGAUCGCCAUACACAGAGCCUCGCCCUAUUCUCUCUUCCUUUCUUCCCUCCGCCUUCUGCCCUAAUUCUAGUGAAACAAAGCAAAAUUUUUAGACUUAUCGCUCUAAUGUCUGUGACACUUAGUGUGUGUGAAACUCUGAUGGGGCAGAGAAUGAUUCAUUCAUUUAUGCAUGUAAGAAAUGUUUACUGAGCACCUACUGUGUGCUGGGCACUGGGAACGCAGAGAUGAGAAAGGAAACAGUCUCGCUUCUAAGAUGCAUAUGGUCUCCUGGGGUGACAAUUGAGAAAAGACACUGUUUUGGUAUGAAAUGAUGAAUGUAUAUCCUUGCUCAAAACGUGAUCCUUGGACUAACAGCACUGGAAUCACCUGGCAUGAUGCAGAAUCCAGGGCUCUCCCCAGAAUCAAUCAGCAUCUGUGUUUUAACAAGGUCUCCAGGAGACUUGCAUACUUACUUAAAGUUUGAGAAGCACUGGUCUAACACGCGGUCCCUGCUAUUCAUAAGUUUGCAAACUGGCAAAUCAUUCAAAUAUACCAAUGCCAGAGAAAUGCACAGUUCUCAAUAUUCACGUGUCCAGACUCCACUGAGUUCUCUCCUAGCCUGUUAAGCCUAAGGGAGCAAGUCAGGAGGGGCCUGGGGUUAGAGCCACGUAUUGAGAUGAGAUGGGUAGUAGGAGAGAGAUUGUCCUGUCAAACGAAAUAGCCCACAAGAGUUAGGUAAGAGCAGGGGCAGGGACACCCCAGGAAGGAUCACAGCCUAGACCAUCCAUGGGGACUAUGGGGUGGCUGCAUGCAGUCAGGCAGGCAGGCAGGUGGCAAGGACCAGGGGAGCUGAGGAUAGGAAGGAGACAAGUGUGGCUGCAAGUCUGGAGCCUAGCUCUGAAGAAGUCAGGCAGGAAAGAAGGCUGGCGGCACAUCGCUAUGCAAUCAUCGGAUCUGAGUGUGAUUUCUGUCUCUGGGAUCUCAGCUAGUAUUUUAACCUUGCAGAUAUUCAUUUUCCUCGACUGUACAAUCUAGCUAACAAAAGGUACCCCGUGAGGUGGCUAAGGGAUUAAAUAAUGUGUGUAAAGCUCUUGGGUCUGGGGCUGCUUAAUAGUAUUAUUAUUAUUAUUCCCACUUUACAGUUGAGGAAACAGAGUCCCAUGGACAGUAAGUGAAUUUCCCAAGGUCAUUCAGCUGGUAAAGAGCAAAGCCCUUCCUCUAGACUGACUCCUAAGAAUCUCAGGGCUCAAUGCGUGGAUGGUUAUUAUUCCACCGACAUCACUAUGUAUCCUGCUAAGGGGCUGCUGCCUAAGCAGGUUGCCGCAUCAAAGACCACACCUUCCAACCUCCAGCCUCAAGUUGGGCUCCUUUCUGGGCCUGGGCAGGCAGACAGAACCCAGCACUUCUGACUGCAGGGUGGAGGCGAGGCUUCCCCAGUAAACUUCCAAAUGUGUUCCAGCCCAACUGUCCUUAUUCUACCCCCAUGAGUGCCGCUCCAUCUCACCUGCAUUCUCUGCACCAAGAGGAUGCUUUAUAGGAAAAAAAAGGUGGUGUGUGUGUGUGUGUGUGUGUGUGUGUGUGUGUGUGCCACAGUUAAUGGUAAUUCUGACUUUUGAGCAUUGAAUGAAUAGCUCCCUGAAUGACCAUUACAUGCAUCUGUGUCCUGAGCAUGUUGUGUUUACAACAUGGGUGAAAAUCCUGAUCUUGAAAGAAAAAAGUAAAAAUCAAGACCUUGCCAUAAAUCCUACAAAGUAGGACAAAUAUUUUUCCAGUAGGUUCUUGAAGGAGCUUUAGAGCUGGUGGCCAUCACUAAACCUUUCCACUAUGCUAGAUUUCCUUAGUUUACUUAGUAGGUAUGUAUUUAGAAAAAAUGGUCAAGUAUUAGAAAAUAAACCUAAGUAGGGCUCCCAAAAUCAUCCUCGUGCUGUCUCAGCAAGGGAAUCAUCUGAAAGUCAAGGUCAGUGGCUCUUAGCCUUUCGUAGUUCCUUGGAAAAGGGCCUCAUGAAGGCCAUAGGACACACUGAUGAGUGCCCAGAAAGCAAUUCUGAUUACACCAUGGGCUUAUCCCAUGUGCCAAAAGUAUGUGUUGAGUUAAAAAGAAUUAAUUAAUGGAACAAGGAUUCUUAACCUAGGUCCAAGUAUCUCAUGAACAUUCUGAAUGGUCAGCAAAAAUUGGGGAUAUAUCUACAUUUCUGGGGUAUCUAUGUACAAUUCUCAAAGGCUCUAUGGUCCAAAAUGAUUAAGAAUCAUUUUGCCUUUUGGGAUUCCUGGCCAUCUUCAUGGCUGCUCUUGGUUAGAAGCCACCCCACACCCACAGCUGGAAUAUGGUGGCCACAAAGAAGAUGAAAAGGCCCUGGAGUCCAUCAACUCUAGUCUCCAAGCCAUUAAGAAGGGUGGAAAGUACAAGCUGGGGCAAGCCAGCUCUGAAGAUGAUAGACAGGCGAAGUGAAACUGAUCAUCCCCACCAACCACCUGGCCUCAAGGAAAUCCGAAAUACAGCACUAAGCCACAACCUCUCAAAACUGCCAUCUACCACUCCAGCAGUAAUAACAUUAAAUUGGGCACAGCAUAUGGAAAACACCAUAGGAAGAGCACCACGGUGUCACUGAUCCAGAGAAUUCUGAGAGUCUUUUUUUUUUUUUUUUUUUGAGACAGGGUCUCACUCUGUUGCCUAGGCUGGAGUGCAGUGACACCAUCUUGGCUCAGUGCAACCUCCACCUCCAAGAUUCAAGCCAUCUUCCUACCUUGGCCUCCCAAGUAGCUGGAACUAUAGGCACAUGUCAUCAUGUCCAGCUAAUUUUUGUAUUUUUGUACAGAAGAGGUCUUGUUAUGUUGCCCAAGCUGGUCUCGAAGUUCUAGACUCAAGCAAUCUGCCCGCCUCAGACUCCCAAAGUGCUGGAAUUACAGGCGUGAGCUACUGCACCCAGCCCUGACAUCUUUAGAAGUAAGCUAGAACAGACUGAUGAAAGAAAAUAAUGCAAAUUUUCUUUAAUAAAAGUGGCCAGAGCUUGUUUUUCAAAAGGAAGGAAGGAAGGAAGAAAGGAAGGAAGGAAGGGAGGAAGGAAGGGAGGGAUGGAAGGAAGGAAGGGAGGUAGGGAGGGAGGGAGGAAGGAUGGGUCAUAGCAGUAUUUUGAGGGAGGAAGUCAUAUGCUAUCCCCAAAGCCAAAAUCAACUGGGCAAAUUUGACAGCUUGGAGGAGCGAAACGUAAGAUAUUUGAGUUCUGGCUUCAGCAUGCCUCCCACCUCCUGAUUCACCAGGGCAGACCCUCUCACUGCUGCCCACAACCUAGUCCUCCCCCUCUGCCUAGAAGUCUGUCUCCAUUUAGAAAGAUUCCCUCCUGGCCAUCCUUCAGGACUGCACACUCAGUUAUAAAAGCCUCCUUCCCUGCCUGAGGACAAUAGAUGGCUCCUUCAAUCACCCAAAUUAUCUUCAGAGGCUCCUUGCUAUUUCCCAGAUACAAAAGCCCUUACGGUAUUAUUUAUACAACGAUAGCCUAUUAUUUACUGAUUUGUGUUUGCACCCCGGUCUGUGUUUCCUGGUCAUUGUGGACCAGGUGUUUAUUCUAGAUUCAAAGCUGUCAAAGAAUCACUGUUGUUUAAUUUUCUUUUGCGUAGGACGUGUUCAAAGCAAAAAUUAGAUGACAGACAUUUCAGAUUUUGCAGCACUGUUUGCGACAAUUAGGAGAACUGGUUCUGUCAAAACCUCACCUAUGGCUUCAAUUAAUUCUGGACAUUAUUAUUUCCCAUACCCUGUUCUCAAGUACAGUGGGCAUCCUCUUUUUAAAUCUGCGCACAUCUGAUUUCUGACUCAGCUCCUCCCACAGUCCUGCACUUACGGUUUGGAAUUUUCAUUUCACUAAGAAAGGGAGAAAUUCUUGCUGGGGAAUGGUUCUUCAGGCAUUCAGAGCCCUCCCUAUCUUUGUCUGGAAAAGCAAGGUUUGUUCCCCCGCAGCUUUGAAGGCUGCACGUUCAAUAUCUCAUUUGGUUUGCCUGCCUCUCUUGGCUCCCUCCUACCCACAGGGUGCCACGGCGCACUGUCUUUCCCAGUAGCAAAGGCACUGUGUCUCACGAGCUGGCUGCUUAUUCAUUUCUGAGUCAAACUCUAGACCAUGCUUGCCUCUUCAGGCACUCGGCCCUCUGAGCACAAAUACAACAGGGCUUUGCACUCCAGGCCCUUGCCCAGAGUAACCUCUGGAGACCUAAGGCCACGUGGCAUCAGGCCUGAAGUGCCCUCCUUUACUCCAUGACAUCAAAGCCUGCUUCAGAUGGCUGGGCCACAUCCUGCUGGCUUCAUGUCUGCCAAGAAGAGCUUGGGGCACUGUGACCACAACAGUCAAGCAUCCUGGGGGCCUCCUUCCAAUUAAGGCCCGCAGGUUUUACACUUAUUUCCCCAGAACUUAUCUGUGCCUUUCACAGCCCACACGACUUACAGGGGCUUUGUUCCCUUCUCAGCUGCAGUUUAUUUGUUUAUUUUUUGAAACACGAAGGAAGGCCAGAGAUGGGAAACUUUGAGCUUUUGCACGCUUCUCCACUGCGUCUCCUCGAUGGAGAAGGCUGGCAGUGCUCCCUGCCCCCCGCAGCCGCCCAUGCUCCAAAGCCAGGAUGUGAGUCUUGCAGCGCUGCAGACAGCUCCUAAAGGGUGUACCCCCAAUUUGAGCUCAUCUGACCUAGUUAAGGAGCCAGAACCGGAGAAUUAUCGGCCAGUCAUGAGUUCUGGCUGGGGACCCUGCCCUCCCCCUCGCGCCCAGCCUUGAUGCCCUUCUGGGCAGCUUCAAACAGCAGCUGCAAAAUGUCAGUGCAAGAGGCAGAAGGACCAGGGCGGGGAUAGCGUGCCGACUCCGGAUGAUAGAAGCAGAGGGAAAGUCUAGAAGUACACGGAGCAGGGGGCUAGGCGGGGUCGCAGGCAGCGAGGACAGCCCAGGAUCCCAGAGACGCCAGGUGGAGGCGUCUUGCGGGCACCUGGCGACGGGCCGGGGCCCGCGGCGAGGCCACCCACCU